AGCCAUUUCUCAGAAAAAUUGUUUAUUUUUCUUCUCCAACCUGGGGCUGGCCUUCCCCUACCUUGCGUCCUUUCUUUGUUGUUACUUAUUAGGACUCCACAUGCUCCAGAUAAAAAAAGUUAUGUCUCCCUAGAACCAGCUACAUAAUUUGUGAAGUCCAAUGCAAAAUGAAUAUGCUAGUCUCUUGCUAAAAAGUUAUUAAGAAUUUCAAGGUGGUGACAGAAGAGCAUAAAUCUGGGAUCAGUGUGGGUAAGUGGGCACAAGACCGUUUGUGAUGCACAGGUCCCAUGACUAUGAAGCCCACCCUGUCUGUUCUGCCUCACUUAAGGCACUACAUAUGGCAAAUACCAGAUAACUAAAUUGAAAAAUCCCUAUCUUGUUCACCUUUAUAGUCCAGGAGAGCUGGUCAAAUCUCCUAUUCAUAAUGGGAGAUUGAUGAAUACUUGCAAAUGACUUGCUUCAUACUGAGGCUGUGCCAUUUGCCUGAGAAUGAACUUAGCCUCUUCAUUACUGGGUCCAUGACCAUCUCCCCUCUCCCCUCCUCACACACAUCCUCUAUCCAUAGCUGGUACUACUCCUGUCUUCACUUCUCCUACUCUUACCCUCAAGCCUUGCCAAUCACUGCCCUCUUCCUCUUCCUUCUCCUUGUUCUCCUUUAGUGGUGCUUUCUUCUAUGCUCCUGUAGGAAACUGGCUGAGUCCUAGGGUACAUGCAGCUCUGCUGUAUCCUAGUGUGGCUGAAUGCACUCACUUAGUGCUUAUACUUAGUGAUGGGAGAUGUUAGGGGCCUGAAGGUAGUUUUCCAGUCAUUUGCCUGAAGAUUGUAUUCUCAGCUCUGAGACAGAAGGAGCCCAGCUGCAAAGAAGCUAGGCCACUGUGACUGGGUCUUCCCCUCUCUGGGAUAUCACAAAGUCCACAUGAGGUCAGUGAACCAAUCUACAAGAGAAGGGCUGAGCAGGGGACCUGGGAUGAUUUCCUCCAAUAUUUAGUCAGACUGAUUUUCUGGAUCCAAGCUUCUCAACUUACUACAUGUGGACAAAUCAUUAUAUUUCUCCCAGCCUUAAAAAUCUUCAGUAAGUUAAAGAGAGAAGGACUCAGGCUUAAUGGCAAUCCUAUUAUUUUACUAAUGAGGAGACGAAACACCUAGUUGGAGAUCACCUCCUUACUGGCUCAGAGCUUCAGGAAAUCGCUCAAGGGUAUGCAAAUACUGAACAGCAGAACUGGGAUUUAGAUCCACAUCUACUUAAUUUUAGUGCAUGUGCUCUAACUGCUGCCACAGAAGGGAUGCAGAGGAAGAUGGUCAGUUACCCAGAGGGUGAUAUCUUUGACUUAAUGUUCACCAUAAAGACAGCUAUCAACAGAAGACUUGAAGUCUAACUUGUUAUCUAUUGUAGGAAAGUGCCUGCAACAUGGUGAUUCCUGCAGAGCAUCUGACAAUCGGAGAAGAGUUAGAAUACAUUAAGCUCAGCAUCACAUAUGUGGUUUAAAUACAACUCUACCUCCUUCUCUUUCUUUCUCUUCUUUUCUGCCUUUGUUGCCCUACCCAGGAUUAAAACCUUAGGUCUUAUGUUAAAAGAAUGACAAGAGAACUGUAGCAUUCUCUGCCUCUUGGGCGUCUGCAAGAGGUGGGAUAUUAGAGGGACACUGGGGGAUGCUUGGAUGAUCACCUCCACCCCUCCACCCCCUACGACCUCAACAUGAAGUUGGCCCUCUUGAAGUGGGUGAAUCACUACAGCCCUUGUUCAGGAAGUGUGUUUGAAACCAGGCUUUUAAGGAAGAGAGGUGAUGACAUUUCUUGGGACCUUCUUGCCAACCUGACCCUUCUGGUUGGCACCACCCAGAGCUACAUUGCUUAGGCUUGAAGCCCAGGUGUGUUGUUGGGCUCUUCCCCCUUUAUGAGGCCCAUGUUUCUAUGAUGCCAGGUGGCAGCCCUUCAUCAGCCUUUGGGCUACAUCACUGUGGAGGUGGCUGGAGUCUCUUUUUUCAUGCAAACUGCUGCCCAGUGAAACUUCAUAAAGCAAGGCUAAUCAUGUUACUCUUCAGUUCAAUCUGAGAAACUCUUUAUUGUUUACAAGAUGUAGACAUUUUGACUAAAGCAUUUCAAUUUCCAUAUCCCCAUCUCCAACCCCAACCUGGCUUUUUAGCCAUGUCCUUUAUUAUUUCCUUCAGGGAACCUCUGUUAUAACCAAACUGGGUUAUUUAAAAAGUAGAAAAAGUACAGGUGUUCAUAGGAAAUUCAGUGAUUUGUACUAUUUUUUUCAUCUUCACCUAUUCAACUUCCAUAUGUGCUUCAAGACUCAAAACAAAGGCCCUAUACUCUAUGGUUACUUCUUUGUUUAGUUACAUUUUAUAUCUACCAAUAGAAGAUGCCUUCUCCGGCCAGAUAUAAGCUUCUUGAAGUUCAAGCUAUAUUUCUGUGGGGCUCUAGGGGAUAGGGCAGGGGUAGUAGAUUUAGAAAAUGAACUGGAAUAGAGCUUUAAAUUCCACAUUUUGGGGACUUAGAGUAGAACUUGGGGGAGGGGCAGGGGAAGAUUACAAAGGGAGCACAGUAGAACGUACUUAUUAUCUUGAUUUGUAGUAAUGGUUUAUGGGUGUAUACCUAUGUCAAAACUUAUCAAAUUGUACACUUAAAAUAUGUGCAGUUAAUUGUAUAUCAAUUAUACUUCAAUACAUUCAUUUAAAAAGUGUACAUUAUUCAAAUCCUCCCUCAGGAGCUCUUUCUAGAAGUAAGGCAAUGAAACCAGGAAUAUAUGCCUAAAUGUGUCAGCAGACAAAGGCUUUAAAAAUGCUAGACUUGUAUUUGAAAGGCAUAGAGAAUUUUGCUUGGUUUCUGUAAUUCAUGGGGGUUCCAAUGGGCUAUCCUGAUAGGAAGCCAGCUGAUUUAAGGAAUCCCAAUAGGCAUUUUCUUAAUUUUAUCCAACAUUUCAGUACUGCCCCAACCACUCAACCAAGCUUUCAUGUUGACUUUCAGCCAUUGUGACAAGGCACCAUCAAUCAUGGACCCUUUACCAGGAGGGUCCAUGUCAUAAGCCACUAUAUAAAGGAAAUGAUGGGUGGACUGCUUUGGACAAAUGGAUUUAGGGUAGGAGAGAGGGACAACAGUAGGAGCAGGUGGAUAUUGCUGUUUCAACCAAAACCUCGUACUGACCAGAGCUGAGGAACAGAAGAUGGUGAAGGCCUGCAGAUGUAGGUAUUCAGCAUGUCAUCUGAAAUAUUCCCCACAGAGGCAAAAAGCAAGGAAAUUAUCUCUGAAAAGGAAUGAGAAGACAAGUCAGCAGAAUAUGUCAAUGUUUUGGUUGAAGAAGCUGCUUGAAUCUGGGCUUUUCUGGGCCAUGUGUUCUCCCACAACCAGCACUAAGAAAGGCUUUUGGUACAGGCCCAAGACCACCAUAAUCAUCAUUGAUUAUUCCUCUCCACCCCAGUGUCUCUAAAUAAAAUUUCUCUUCUUUCUCUGACAAAGGUGUGUUUGAGUGUUACUGUUCAGCUGAAGAGUGACGUUGGGUGACCUUAGAACCCUAGCCCUUCAUGUAAUCAGAUGGGUGUGAUAAGUAGAGGGAGAACCACAUGAGUCAGGAGGAAAUAUGUAGUUUACCCUUUUUUUCCUGUUUGAAAGAUUUACUAUGAUGUUUGUGGUUGGGCUUUGGUUUGGGAUAAAUUGAGGUGCUUUCUGGAUAUGAUAAGGGCUUAUUUGGUUUGAUAGACCAUCUAAACAAGUCCAGUGCAGGCUAAGACAGGUGAACCACCAGAUCACCACAGUUCACACUUCUCAUUCAUUUGUUAGCAGAAAUGAAGAUGCUUGUUUUCCUAGAAACAAGCCCAGGUCAUCCAUCAUGAAGUCCCGGAAUUGUAAAUGUGAGGAAGUGCAAAGACACAACAUACGCUUACAAAGGCAUAUGUACAUUUGGAACUCUUUAAAGGACAACAUCCUCGAGCUUCUCCUGGGCCUCAGCCAAAACGGAGACAGAAAAUGCAUCAUGCUAACAUUGUUGUAUGUAUGUGUAUGACUACAUAAUAUUCUAUCAUUUUGUUUUAUACAAUCUAUGAACCAACAUCUUAUAU